rnacentral:rRNA from 1 species
GCACGGAGUUAGCCGGAGCUUAUUCUCCCGAUACUGUCAUUAUCAUCUCGGGUAAAAGAGCUUUACAACCCUAAGGCCUUCAUCACUCACGCGGCAUUGCUGGAUCAGGGUUGCCCCCAUUGUCCAAUAUUCCCUA